rnacentral:tRNA from 1 species
AGGGGUAGGGUUCAGCGGCAGAGCACACACUUAGUAUGCACAACGUCCUGGGUUCAAUCCCCAGUACCUCUA